UAUAAGGAGCCCGUUCUCUUGUUCUGGAAGGUGACGGUGAUGUUACUGAAGGAUGAGAAACCACCUGAAACACUGAGCCUUCUCACAAUAUUACAUUUGAACUGAUAGUUCGGCAUUGAUUUUUAAAAUGUUUUGAUUAAAGGUCACUGGCUUUACCAAGCUAAGACUGAAAACUUCUGGCUAGACAGACAAAUUUGGCAAUAAUUCAAAUAAAGCCAAUGAGAGUAGGCAAGUUCACUGAAACUCACACCUUUAAUCCCAGCAGAAACCCUGUCUCAAAAAACCAAAAAAAAAAAAAAGUUGAUAGGACUAAAGAGAUGGCUCAGAGGUUUAAAGCACUUGCUCUUACAGAGGACCAGGGUUUAGUUCCAACACCUUCAUCAUGGUUCAUAAACAUCAGUAACACCAGUUCCAUGGGAUAUACAGACAUAUAUGCAGGCAAGACCCUUAUAAAUAAAUCUUUAGAGGAAUUGAAUAAAAUGUUAUAUAGUUAUAAAUAUUUAUGAAAAUAAACUAUUUUAUUACACAUAAAAUAUUAAAUAUUCCCACUACUGAAUUUUUUUUUUUUUGUAAAAGUAUAUGUCAAGUAUAUCUUUGUUGGAAAAUCCCUACACUGUGUCAGUUGAGGGUCUAUGAGCAAAAUGGUUAAACUUUUUAAGAAACUGAGGAAUUGAAGUCUAGCUUUGAUCAGUUUAAAAGACUAUGAAAUUUACAUGGUUUUAAUUUUUCAAGUGAGAAGCCAAAUAAUGGAAAUUGGGGGGUGGGGUGCCAGUCUCCAAGUUCAAGAAACACUAAGACAAAGAUCUUCCUAAUUAAAGAGCUGUAAUGAAAGAAAUUUAGCCAGUUGUAGUGGCACACACUUGUAAUUUCUGCACUUGGGAGGCAGAGGCAGGCAGAUUUCUGUGAGUUCAAGGCCACUCUGGUCUGCAAGAGUUCCAGGCAGCCAGGACUGUUACAAAGAGAAAGUCUGUCUCAAAAAAACAAAUAAACAGAAAUUUGGAAAACAGACAAUUGUCUAAAACUACAACUGUGGCAUUUCAAAGAUGAUUUAGCAAGAGAUUCCAGAAGAUGACCAAAAAUAAAUUUAAUUGACUCAUUCUUAAGUAUGUUUCUUCAAAAAUAAAUUGGGGAGAAAAAAAAAAACCCACACAGAUUAUUGAAAUCAGGAUUUCAGGUUUUGUAACAGUUCAGUAGUUAAAAGCACUUGUGGGCUGGAGAGACCUUGGCGCUGACUGCUCUUCCGAAUCCAGAGUUGAAAUCCCAGCAACCACAUGGUGGCUCUCAACCAUCUGUAAUGAGCUUUGACUCCCUCUUCUGGAGUGUCUGAAGACAGCCACAGUGUACUUACAUAUAAUAAGUAAAUCUUUAAAAAAAAUAAAAGGAAAGAGAGAGAGAGAGGAAAAGAAAGAAAGAAAGA
ensembl:processed_transcript Dleu2 deleted in lymphocytic leukemia, 2